UUCUCCAAAGUGCUCUCUGUCCCAGAGGGAUGCAUAUUUGAAUUACAUCCCAGGCUCCUCCUAUGCCACUUUGGCUUCUAUGUGGGUUUGGCUAAUGGAGCACAGCAGCAGGAGAUAGGAAAGAGUCUAGGUUCUCACCUGUGGAUAGUUCAGGUAAGAACAAUGUGUAUGAGGGAGGAGAGAAGAUCAUAGGAUGUUUCAGGGGAAGAAAACCCCUUGCUGAUAUUCUCCAGGGUGCCCUACUUUGCUGCUAGGUAUUUGUGCUGCAAUAGCUUGUGAAAUUUUUAAAGCUAACAACAGAGAGACUGUCUGUACUCCGCAUAAGGACGGAUGAAGGAGAGGCCAAUCAAUCGAUGAACAGUGUCAACUUUCCAUCUAUUCUGGGUGUGCCAUCAUGAUGAGCUUAAGUUCCAGGAGGGAAACUAAAGGAAACUGUUCCUUAUACCAAGUUCUGCUGAAGGGUUGCAAUAAACUUGUUGAAGGAGCACUGCUCAAUAUUAAAUACACUAUUCAAAGACUUUUUAAAAACUAAGAUAUAUGCCAUACUUGUAUACUCUGGAGAUAUUUAUUUUCAUUUGCAAUCAAAUGAAAAUUUAUUUUUAGGUAACCUUUAGUAAUCUUAUAAUAAAAAGACUCUUGGGAACCCAUCAUAUAUAUAUAAUAACAAGGAAUAAAAAACAUUAAGGUCAAGGAAGAUUGUACAAACAAUUCAGUGAAAAACCAAAAGCAAAAACAAGAAAACUAAACUUAGUUCAAGGAUUAUCUUCUAUAAAACAAAUCAAAUAUGGGAGACAAGCAUGGGUAGUCAGAAAUAGAAGUUCUGUGAUUAUGGUAACAAAGGGAAUAGAUGAGGGCCUUAUGAAUUGACUGAGGACCCUUAUACUUGAGACUCAUGAGUGGAUUAUAGGCAAAGAGUUGGCACAGAGAUGCCCCACACCCUUGCUGUAGGAAAGCAAAGAAAAUCUGGCUACCAGAUACAAGUGUCUGGAUAACUACCCAUUGGGAAAUAAAUCACACAUGGGAGGAAACAGCCAUAACUAAUUAUAGCUGGGCAUUCCCCAGGGCUCUCAUUUUAGGCAGGACCAAUUUUAACAACCUAGUAUCAUCUCUAAUAGCAGUUAUAAAUGCCAACCUGGCACAGUUCUUAAUGGCUACGUGGAAGGUGGAACUGAGGACUGGAAGCCCAUGCAAGUCAGUGGGAAGAGUGCCAUUCUGGACGGGGACAUCUGCCAAGAGGUAAAGAUUGAGUCUUUGGUGGUGUUUUCUUUCCUUGAUGAGUAUAACACAGUAUUUCAAUAUAUUAACUUCCAGGGAGAGAGGGAGCAUUUAGUUUAAAAUGUGUGGCUAUGUCAUUAAUUUUCUGUUGGAAUUGAUUUAGAUAAGGUAGAGCAGCGUUUACAAAAAACUUCUCCAAGGAGUGGCUCUUCGGCUGCAGUCCCUAACCCAGCAGGGGCUGCCGAUGUGCUCACCUCAACAGGCAUCUUCCCUCUCUCAUAUUGUUCCUUUCCCAGGCUUUGGGUUUUACAUGGCACUUAAAUGGAAUUAAGGUGUUAAAAGGCACCUGAAUAUGAUGAAAGGGUACUAAAAGGAGGAAAGAAGGCAAUAUCUAUGUAUAUAAGGAAAUCUUCCCAGCAUAGGGCUGGAAAAAAUGCUGAAACUAUUUGUAUUCACUGCCAAUUACUUAGUAGCAUCCUGCACACGGUAGUUUUAUAAAAGUGCACAUUUAACUUCCAGGGUAAAUAUGAAGCUUGAAACUUCAACUCUGUACUGAAGCUACUGUUCAUGCGGCAUAAAUUAAAUGAGGGGAAAAUGGAGAGUGAUUUGUUUUUCUUCUGGAAUAAGACCCCAGUACUCCUCCAAGGUUGUGUGAAAGGCUGAGGAGUCUGUGGUACAAAUACUUUAAUUAGCUGACAGCAGGUGGGAUGAAUUACAUUUGAUCUCUGUUCAAGAUGCUUGUAUAAUAAAGGAUUUAAUUGUUUCAUUUAUUUACAGUGGAUGGAUGAAGGAGGAGGCUAUCUCAAGAAUUUGUUCAUUUAAAGCAGUGAUUGCAAUAUUGUUUGGAAAAGUGGAGUAUGACACCAAUGACAUUGUAGAGAAAGUGUGUGGGGGCCUUCAGACUCUGAGGAUUCUCUGUACUUUUGUCCUUCUACCUGGUUGUGGAGUUGACAUGGCACCAUCUUACACCUCAAGAACUUCUAUUCCCUGUUAAAAAACUUUUUAAUGCCAUCUUAUGAGAUAAUCUCCAAGAUCCUCCCCAUGGCCUUCAAAUGCCCUAGCUGGCUCCCCAGCCUCAGCCUCCCCUCUUUUUCUGGUAUAUUGUGCUUCAGUAGCACAUGACUGCUGGAAAGUCUCUGGUGAAAUCACAUUCGUUCCCUCUGAAUUUCUGUCAUCCCAUCUCUAAAGAAUGUUCUUAAGCUGGGUGUGGUGGCUUA